CCUACGGGGGGCAGCAGUGGGGAAUAUUGCACAAUGGGGGAAACCCUGAUGCAGCGACGCCGCGUGAGCGAUGAAGUAUUUCGGUGUGUAAAGCUCUAUCAGCAGGGGAGAAAAUGACGGUACCUGACUAAGAAGCCCCGGCUAACUACGUGCCAGCAGCCGCGGUACUACGUAGGGGGCAAGCGUUAUCCGGAGUUACUGGGUGUAAAGGGAGCGUAGACGGUCAUGCAAGCCAGAUGUGAAAGCCCGGGGCUCAACCCCGGGACUGCAUUUGGAACUGGAAGGCUAGAGUGCCGGAGAGGCAGGCGGAAUUCCUAGUGUAGCGGUGAAAUGCGUAGAUAUUAGGAGGAACACCAGUGGCGAAGGCGGCCUGCUGGACGAUGACUGACGUUGAGGCUCGAAAGCGUGGGGAGCAAACAGGAUUAGAUACCCCGGUAGUC
rnacentral:rRNA from 1 species